rnacentral:rRNA from 1 species
ACACUCCUACGGGAGGCAGCAGUGGGGAAUAUUGGACAAUGGGCGCAAGCCUGAUCCAGCCAUGCCGCGUGAGUGAUGAAGGCCCUAGGGUUGUAAAGCUCUUUCACCGGUGAAGAUAAUGACGGUAACCGGAGAAGAAGCCCCGGCUAACUUCGUGCCAGCAGCCGCGGUAAUACGAAGGGGGCUAGCGUUGUUCGGAUUUACUGGGCGUAAAGCGCACGUAGGCGGACUAUUAAGUCAGGGGUGAAAUCCCGGGGCUCAACCCCGGAACUGCCUUUGAUACUGGUAGUCUUGAGUUCGAGAGAGGUGAGUGGAAUUCCGAGUGUAGAGGUGAAAUUCGUAGAUAUUCGGAGGAACACCAGAGGCGAAGGCGGCUCACUGGCUCGAUACUGACGCUGAGGUGCGAAAGCGUGGGGAGCAAACAGGAUUAGAUACCCUAGUAGUCCCAUGAU